GGAGGGUUAUCGAAGCGGUCAUAACGAGGUGGUCUUGAAAACCAUUUGUCCUUUGGACACGUGAGUUCGAAUCUCACACCCUCCGCCA
rnacentral:tRNA from 1 species